rnacentral:rRNA from 1 species
UACGAAGGGGGCUAGCGUUGCUCGGAAUCACUGGGCGUAAAGCGCACGUAGGAGGAUUGUUAAGUCAGGGGUGAAAUCCUGGAGCUCAACUCCAGAACUGCCUUUGAUACUGACGGUCUUGAGUUCGGGAGAGGUGAGUGGAACUGCGAGUGUAGAGGUGAAAUUCGUAGAUAUUCGCAAGAACACCAGUGGCGAAGGCGGCUCACUGGCCCGGUACUGACGCUGAGGUGCGAAAGCGUGGGGAGCAAACAGG